AAUCGCUCUUUCUUGAAGCAAGCUGUAUCUAGGUUUCUCGUGUGGCAGUCGGGUGUGUAAGAGCGGCCCCUCCACUGGCUGGUCCUGCUACCACAGACUCACUUGCAAAUGGAGCCCUAGAACUCCUGCAUGGCUGGACUCAGAGGGCUUGAGAUCUUCCAGUACUUAACUGAGUCUAGGGAGGACAUGGUUUUUUAAACUUCUAAAUCAAAGAACUCUUUUGGCCUGGCUUCCUAGAGGUACCCUGUCCUUCAGCUGGGGACCUUCUCUCUAGGGCUCGUGCUCACUGACCAGCCUCUCCUUACAACUGAAGACUUUUGCAGGACACUCUUCCUAGAUGUUGCCUUCAUGUUGAGUCCCGGUGUCUGAGCAUUUCCUCCUGACGGCUGUACUUGAGCAGUCACCUGGCACAGGACAAGACAUUUCAAAGAAAGUAUUAAAUUCAUUCACGAGUGCCGGCUCCGCGGUGAGAGCUGCCUUGUACACUGCCUGGCCGGGGUCUCCAGGAGCGUGACACUGGUGAUCGCAUACAUCAUGACCGUCACUG
rnacentral:lncRNA from 1 species